AAUUUUUUUAGAGAGUUCUUAUCGAAAAAAAAGAUUGCGACCUCGAUGUUGGAUUAAAAUAAAAUUUUGGUGUAGAAGCUAAAGUAUUUAGGUCUGUUCGACCUUUAAAAUUUUACAUGAUCUGAGUUUAAACCGGUGUGAGCCAGGUUGGUUUCUAUCUCUAUAUAGUUAAAAUAUUUUAGUACGAAAGGACCAAGUAUUUGAUUAAUAAUUUUUUAAUAAGAAUAAAUUUG
rnacentral:rRNA from 1 species